rnacentral:snRNA from 1 species
GUCUUGUCACACAACUACCACAA